rnacentral:lncRNA from 1 species
GUUUUAGGGAACUUUGUAGUGACUUCAAACUAUAUAAUUAUAUUUUACAUAAUUUGGAGAUAACGAAGAAAACAAAAUAAAAAAAAAAAAAAACAAACCAAAAAAAAAAAAAGUGAAAGUUGAACCUAAAAGCAAAACAGCAUUGCCCCUAACGGAGAAUCUAUUUUCUCCGCCAUUCUCUCCGGCAUCUCGCCACCCUACACCAACUAAUUUACCGGCGAAAACAUCCACACGACCAAGAUAAUUUAAAAAACUAUAAAAGCAAUUCAAAGUGGGUCUAACUGUGUCACCACAAUGGGACUCCUAACCACAUGCUUUCCAUCUACCCAUGACAACGACCCGAACACUGCACCCGAAUCACCCAUCACUGCAUUGCUCCCAUCUAUCUUCACCGUAACAUAGUAGCUCAAUUCCCUCACCUUAUCGGAGAAAACCAACCUCCCCGGCUUCACCGUCACCCCCACGCCCUUAGGCGCCUCUACCUUAACCGUGUAAACCGAAUUCACAUCCCCUACAUUCCUCACUCUCCUCACCAAGGUCUUCCUCAACACCCCCUUUCUAACAGUCGAAAACAUCGCUGCAAUGGACGGGUAAUUCAAAUUCUCCGGGGCCGGCUUCCUCCUCAUGGGGCAUGCCGCGGGUGAGCGAGUGAUCACCUGAAUUGUUUUCGCUCCAUACCCAAUUGAGCAUAGGAAACUAACGUAAUCCUGGUUAGUAAGAUCAUAAACCAAACCCGGAUCCAUAGCCAAAUCCAGGUUCAAAUGACCCGCACCAAAAUCAUACGGUGUGGUCGCGUUUCCUGUGGAUUCAUCCGUCAUCGGUUGAAGCUGUUUGUUCACCGUGCUCGCGGUGGUCAUUAUGGCUGAUUUUAUCGCGGCAGGCGACCAAUCCGGGUGAGCCGAUUUCAACAAGGCAGCAGCACCACUAACAUGGGGACAGGACAUUGAAGUCCCGGAUAGUAUAUUAAACUCAGUUUUCCGAGCAUCCGAAUCUAACCCCGUCGGCCCAACCGCAUCAGUCCACGCAGCCAAAAUGUUAACUCCGGGAGCAAUCAAAUCCGGUUUGAGAAUCUCCGGAUCGGAAAAGCUCCGCCUCUCCGGCCAUAUUCCGGUAUCAAAAACGCCGAUGAUGACGUCAGAACCAUAGUCCGAUUCGGACCAGAGGCCUCUCUGGUUUCUUAAACCAACAAACUGCGGUGAACGAGUGGUGUGAAGCUCUCGGCGGCGAUCUGGAAUAACCGCCAGCACAUCUGGAUGUUUUUGUAAAGAGGAUGCUUGUGAAGGAGUCAUGGAAGCGGAGAAGCCGUUGAAAACGGUGUCGUAUACAUGGAGGAUGGUGUUUGAUUCGGUGAACUCUGAGGUGUACCAGUGGUAGUGUGUGGGGAAAAUGGAGGGUUUGGAUUCACUGUUGACUCGGAAAAUGUAGGUUUUGACGGUUGGAUCUGUGGAUGUUGUCUCACCGGCGGUGAGGAUGAAGAUGAGGGAACAGAGGAGUAAAGCCAUUGGAGAGGCUUUGGGAGUGUGAAGUGUGAAGUGGUUGUGUGUCUCGAUGUGUGUGCUUUUAAACACAUAAUAAGUCUGGUGAGUUUUUUAAUUUCAUAUUGUAUUAACGUUUAAAAAAAAGUUUAAUAGAAUUAAAAAGUUGAAUGGUGUAGUUUGGCAUCCCCGGCCACAUCAUCUAUUUAACGCUUCAAAUACGGGACGUUAAAGGCAUCUUCGUGAGUUUAAUAACGGACGUUAACAUUAUCUUUUGACAUGUGUGAGUUUGAUCGAUGAGAAUGACACGGGUGAAGGCGUUAAAUACGCCUUCACACCGUGUAGCCUAAGUGGUAUGUGUUAUUUAUGGCCGUUAUGGUAUAUUUUUAUAUUAUUUGAAAAAAAAAAUCUAUAUACCCAAAAAUGUAGUAUUUAUUUAUGAGAUUAUGACACGUAAGUGAAUUAUAAAAGAAAAUAUCUAUCAUUCAUUAAUAGAAUAGAUAUUUCUCUAGUGAUUAUUUUUUUAAACUUCUUUCUAUUUAUGUUUGGUUAGGUAGCACACCUUUGUUUUUAUAAACGGGAGUUAAUAUUUACAUAUUUCUCUUCAAUAUCUUUUUCUACAUAUAUAUAGAAUAUAUUUAACAUUUUAAAUAUGGAAGAUAUUUAAAUGAAGUUAGAAAAUGAAUGGGAGGUAUCAUGAAACAUAAUAGUUUAAUGAGGUGAGUUUGAUGAGUCACAAGUUUCUUGCUUUGGUGGAGGCACUAGAGAGUAGAGUAGAGAUAACUAGAAUUGGAUUCCUUUGAACCAGGGAUUGUAUUCGAGAAUAAUAUUGGAUGGAAAUGAGAAUUUAUAUCUUAUAAUUUAUAAUCGACAUUGAAUUAAUGGUAAAAAUGUUUUGAAUAAAUGCAAACUUGGAUAUUCUUCCAUUUCUAUUUCUGUAAACCAGUUCUAUUUAUUACCCCCGUUGAAACCGUAAAUGCAACUAUUGUUUUUUUUUUUUUUCUUUUUUGAAUAGAAACAUUUGUUCCUACCCUAUUACUUUAAUAAUUUUAAACUAAUCUUCUUUGCUUAGGUUUGAAUCUAAGAUCUUACCUCUAUCACGUGAAUUAGCUAUUGUUUUUUGGAUAUC